rnacentral:rRNA from 1 species
CGGACGGGUGAGUAACGCGUGGGUAACCUGCCUUGUACAGGGGGAUAACAGUUGGAAACGGCUGCUAAUACCGCAUAAGCGCACGGCAUCGCAUGAUGCAGUGUGAAAAACUCCAGUGGUAUAAGAUGGACCCGCGUUGGAUUAGCUAGUUGGUGAGGUAACGGCCCACCAAGGCGACGAUCCAUAGCCGACCUGAGAGGGUGACCGGCCACAUUGGGACUGAGACACGGCCCAA